GAUGAACGCUGGCGGCGUGCUUAACACAUGCAAGUCGAACGGAAAGGCUCCUGCUUGCCGGGGUACUCGAGUGGCGAACGGGUGAGUAACACGUGGGUGAUCUGCCCUGCACUUCGGGAUAAGCCUGGGAAACUGGGUCUAAUACCGGAUAGGACCACAUUUUGGAUGGUGUGGUGGAAAGUUUUUCGGUGUGGGAUGAGCUCGCGGCCUAUCAGCUUGUUGGUGGGGUAAUGGCCUACCAAGGCGUCGACGGGUAGCCGGCCUGAGAGGGUGUACGGCCACAUUGGGACUGAGAUCCGGCCCAGACUCCUACGGGAGGCAGCAGUGGGGAAUAUUGCACAAUGGGCGCAAGCCUGAUGCAGCGACGCCGCGUGGGGGAUGACGGCCUUCGGGUUGUAAACUCCUUUCGCUAGGGACGAAGCGUUUUUGUGACGGUACCUGGAGAAGAAGCACCGGCUAACUACGUG
rnacentral:rRNA from 1 species